CCUACGGGUGGCAGCAGUGGGGAAUAUUGGGCAAUGGGCGCAAGCCUGACCCAGCAACGCCGCGUGAAGGAAGAAGGCUUUCGGGUUGUAAACUUCUUUUGUCAGGGAAGAAUAGAAGACGGUACCUGACGAAUAAGACACGGCUAACUACGUGCCAUCAGCCGCGGUAAUACGUAGGUGGCAAGCGUUGUCCGGAUUUACUGGGUGUAAAGGGCGUGUAGCCGGGUUGACAAGUCAGAUGUGAAAUCCUGCGGCUUAACCGCAGAACUGCAUUUGAAACUGUUGAUCUUGAGUACUGGAGAGGCAGAUGGAAGUCCUAGUGUAGCGGUGAAAUGCGUAGAUAUUAGGAGGAACACCAGUUGCGAAGGCGGUCUGCUGGACAGCAACUGACGGUGAGGCGCGAAAGCGUGGGGAGCAAACAGGAUUAGAUACCCUUGUAGUC
rnacentral:rRNA from 1 species